rnacentral:rRNA from 1 species
GAGUACGGUCAAGGUAGGCGGGAAUGUGUAAUGUAGCGGUGAAAUGCUUAGAUAUUACACAGAACACCGAUUGCGAAGGCAGCUUACUGGGCCAUUACUGACGCUGAGGCACGAAAGCGUGGGGAGCGAACAGGAUUAGAUACCCUGGUAGUCCACGCCGUAAACGAUGAUCACUCGCUGUUGGCGAUACACAGUCAGCGGCUAAGCAAAAGCAUUAAGUGAUCCACCUGGGGAGUACGGCCGCAAGGCUGAAACUCAAAGGAAUUGACGGGGGCCCGCACAAGCGGAGGAACAUGUGGUUUAAUUCGAUGAUACGCGAGGAACCUUACCUGGGCUUAAAUGUAGAGUGCAUGGGGUAGAAAUAUCCCUUUCCUUCGGGACUCUUUGCAAGGUGCUGCAUGGUUGUCGUCAGCUCGUGCCGUGAGGUGUCGGGUUAAGUCCCAUAACGAGCGCAACCCUUAUCGUUAGUUGCCAGCGGGUAAUGCCGGGAACUCUAACGAAACUGCCGGUGUAAACCGUGAGGAAGGUGGGGAUGACGUCAAAUCAGCACGGCCCUUAUGUCCAGGGCUACACACGUGUUACAAUGGCCGGUACAGAGGGCAGCUACCUGGAGACAGGAUGCGAAUCUCCAAAGCCGGUCUCAGUUCGGAUCGGAGUCUGCAACUCGACUCCGUGAAGCUGGAUUCGCUAGUAAUCGCGCAUCAGCCAUGGCGCGGUGAAUACGUUCCCGGGCCUUGUAAAACGACGGCCAGCAAGCCUAAUAAGUCUCGGGAUAGGGAAGUCCGAAUCUAUCGGCCGCGACUUAGCCCUUUACCAGGGUCCGGGUUUAACUUGAUCCAACUUA